rnacentral:lncRNA from 1 species
CAUGAUUACUUGUCUAAAGCCCAUUGUCUUGUCUGCUUAUCUAAAGAGAGAGAGCUCGACAACCCCAUUGGGAGUCUCCUUAAGUCUAAUUUUUCUCUUGUUUCUUGAUGAGGGACUAGGAAAACACGUGAAGAGAUGAAUGGCUAAAACCAAGUUCUAAUGAUUCUGGUAUUUCUUUAACUUCUAGAUGUUACUAGUACAUAUUAUGAGGCUAUUUGGGCUUGCUUCCCCGGUGUUUUGCUUCUACUGUAAUUUGAUGAUGGUUGAUGUUUCUUGUUGUCUGCGAAAGGACUUCUUGAAGCAUGAUAAAUUUUUUUUUUUUAAAUCACAUUGCUUUUAAUUCUUGUCAGAUUUUGGAUUUCUUGUACUGUGAUUGUAUUAUCUACUAUUGUCUCAUUUCUUUUUUGAUGCAAUCUAGAUGAUAAUUUUGGUUAAUUCCCAUGUGAUUGAUUGCUCUACCCUUCCCCCACCCAAAAUAGAAAAUGAUUGUGAUGAUUGUUCAGUUGGACUUAAGGCAGUGAUGCAUACUUCCUGUCCACAAAAUUGCAGGUCCGGCCAAAUGAUCUGCGCUUUUGUAGCCGACAAAUAGAGCAAAUUGAACUUAGCGCUGAGUGAUUAAAACGAGCUGAUUCUGAAAUUCGCUUUUUUCCCAAAGGGCAAUUUCGGCUAAAUUUUACAAUCUAAAGAUGAUCUGAGAUGAUCAGGAAUUUGAAGAGGAUCCAGACCAAGAUUUAGAGGAUCAUUUGAGUGCAUAGACAACAUUCAAGCGUAACCACAAAAAACUAAUUACAAAAAUGAGUCAAUCAGCUCCUCCAUAUAUGCACAGAGCUU